rnacentral:lncRNA from 1 species
AUAAAACUAAACCAAUGCGGUUUGGUUCGGUUCAGUUGGUUCGAUUUUUUAUUAAAAAAAUUAUUGAUUCAUAGAUAUACAUAUAGAUGACAACAUAACUUUGUAUUUAGUCACUCAUACACUUCCAAAUAAUAACAAAACUCAUCAUAUUUGGGCAACAACCUCUCAUUUAAUAUCUAACAAUAAAAUUAGACAAAAGUGAAAUAAUAAACAUAAAAAAUAGUAUAAAACAAUAUAAAAAAAUUAAAAUGAAGAAAAAAAAUAGAGGAGAUGAGAGAUUAGUGAAGCUGAAAAAGAAAGAAUAAAAGAGGGUAGAAAUUAGAUAAGAAGAGGUGCGUAAAAAAUUUGGAAGAGAGAACAAUAGUAGCAUAAAAUGAAAAGGUGAAAAAUAAAGAAUAUAAGAGAAGAAGAGGCAAGAUGUAUCUGAAAAAGAAGGUGUGAUCGUAAGACUGAAACUGAAACUCUAAGUAUGAGGAAGAAAAAAAUCCUAAUCGUAAGACUAAGGCAAAGUAGGUUUAGGUUUGGAUUGGAC